GCAACCCGGCUUAGUUUGCCGACGGGUGUGCGUGAGUUCAACGCUGUUAAGACAGAGCUGCCGGAGAGACAUGCUCUAGGAAGCUAGUGCAAUCGCUGGUGAAGCACGAGCGCUUGCCUAACAACGGGUUCAUUCGUACCAAUGAUUGACUCGCCGUUUUCACUGUUGGCAUGCGCCGACUUGAUAAGAUCGUUCUUCUGGUCUGUUCCGUGUUAUCGGCUGGCUUCGCCGCUCGCAAGGACACCCCUGGCCCAUUCUCCCAUGACCCGAGCCACGAAUGCGCGCCUAAGACCCAUGCGGGCGGCAUCGGUACCAGGUCGAUCUGCACGUUUUCCCUGGAGCUGGACGUAGACCCUCUCAGGAUGCCACCGGAAAUACCCAUCAUCAGGUGCAACUGUCCCGCAAGACUUUGCAGCCCCACGGGUGACUUCCGGUGCAUGGAAGUGUGGGAGAAGAUCAUGGUGUCCUAUCCACGCUGGAUAGACCACACCCGCUGGUCGGUGCGAAACGAGACCGUAGACGUGACCACGGGCUGUGUUUGUGCUACGAGCCGAUCUGCACCGGCGGAUAAUGGUGGGUUAGACCGCACGCUAUGAUUGACAAAACCUCGGCGCCAUAAUGUCGGUGGUAUAACAACUCCAGUGAGCAUGUCUCGUUCUCACCAAAAGUCUUCGUGAAUUGAACCAACGAAGCCUUCGUUAUAUUUUAUAGAGAUUGAAGGCAAGCUUAUAUUGCGCGAGACAGCCGUUCUGCUCUGUGAACGUGUCCGCAUGUGCGUAUUGCCCUUCCUUCUCUCAAUCUUUCUUUACCGUUCAUUCAGUCCCCCUCAUCACUUUCUACAAUACAGGGUAGAUUACCAGCUGAUGGCUAGGCAAAAACCAGACAAAAUGAGGGAAAAUUUUAGCCGCCUAAAACAUCACGAGAAGGGCGAAGAAGCACAAGAAGAAACACCACUAAUUUGUUAAAGGGACACAUCAGUGGUUUUGCGCACGUCUCAGUUCCAAUUUUGCUAUUAUUUGCUUGACUAGAUAUAGCUUUCUAAGGACGCCGCGUUUUGAUGUGCAGUAGUGAUUGUGUGGGGCAGUGCUCUUUGCGCAUCUGUGGUGCGGCGUAUACAUAUUCUGCAUUUUUCCUGCAAAUAAAUAAGUUGCCAUAGACGUUA